rnacentral:lncRNA from 10 species
GUGAGCCUUUAGCCCAAUCAGGAGCAGCAACGGAUGCCUCGCUGGAUCAGGAGCACAGCCCACACCCUGCCAGAUCUGGAGGGGUAGAAGUCAGCAGCGGGUCUGUGAUGGCGGCAUUCAGCAGUGGUGGAUGGAAUCUGUCAUCAUGAAAGUUAUAUUAUGUUAAAUAAUUGCCCUCUACUGAAUAUUUGCCCCAUAAGAGGAACAGGAAAAGGGUUAUAAUGAAUCACUGACAUCAGAAGAUCAUGUAUUUGACCUAGAUGCCUCUGAAUCAGCUCUGCAACUAGGACUUCAAGCAAUCCCUGUGGUUACAG